UUACCUACGGGGCGCAGCAGUGGGGGAUAUUGCACAAUGGGGGAAACCCUGAUGCAGCGACACCGCGUGGGUGAAGAAGCGCUUCGGCGUGUAAAGCCCUAUCAGUGGGGAAGAAAAAUGACGGUAGCUAAGGAGCAAGCCACGGCUAACUACGUGCCAGCAGCCGCGGUAAUACGUAGGUGGCAAGCGUUGUCCGGAAUUACUGGGUGUAAAGGGAGCGCAGGCGGGAAGCCAAGUCAGCUGUGAAAACUACGGGCUUAACUUGUAGACUGCAGUUGAAACUGGUUUUCUUGAGUGAAGUAGAG
rnacentral:rRNA from 1 species